UGUUUUCCUCCCCUAUUAUCCCUGUUUUAGAGAUGAAGAAUCCAACACAGCGACAGAUGGGCUGCCCCCCAAAUCGCCCAGGCUCCAACCUGAUCUCCUAACUCCAGGCCCAGAGCCCUGUCCCCAUCCCAGUGGUCCUCCUCACACUGGGCCCCUUGGCCCUGGGAAAGAGUCAUUUCACCACAUCUUGGGCAGCCUGUGACUUUCAAAAUCACGUGGAGACACCUCUCCUAGUUUUUUGUUGUUUUUAAGUUUUUAGUUAAUUAAUGAAAAUCUGUUUUACACAGCCCUUGACAGGGAGCUCCUGGUCCUGAGCAAACGCAGGCCGUUCCAGUUCAGGAGCAGGCUGCUCGGGAGCAUCAGGUUACCCUGGCAAUAACCUCCCGGAGGAAGUGACUCAGCAGCUGAGAUCUAAAAGAUAAGUUGGAGUGAUUUGGACAAAGGGAGCAAGAAAAGAGGGUCCUGGGUAAGGGAAACCCACCUGCAAAGACCACGAUGCAAAGAGCUUGACAUUCGCCCUGCGUGCCUGAUGACAGCCUUCUCUGACGCACCUUGGAUGCUACAGUCCUUGCCUUGGCCUCGCUGAGUGCAUCGCCUGGAACACCCUGAAAGGUAUCCUCUCCCCCCAUAGGCAUUGGGCAAAGCACAGCUUAAAUGCCUCCUCCUCCCUCUGCCUUCCCCAUUUCUGCUCGUCUGAUGUGCUUCCGUGUCCAGCAUUUUAUUCGUGUCUUUCAGAGCAUUUGCCCAGCUGUAUCCAAGCCUCCUUCCCCACUCUUUGUCCACUGUAUCCUCCCACGAUGGUGAUGCGCAAACUCUGUGUGAAGGAAAGACCAGCAUUUUUUUGUGUGUAGUUUUUACUUUUGUAAAUUUCCAAUCCAUUGCAGACUGUUGAUUUUGCAAAAUAAAAUGAAAUUUACCAACCAACGACAUAUAAAAAUAUAAGCCUUAGUUCCAUUAUUGCUAGGUUCAAGUUGCUAUAACAGUCUCUACACCCCUACUCUCGAUUUCCAUACUUUUCUCAUUGCUGGCCAGUAAGUUUUCAGGCCAUACAUGGAAGAGCAGUGUCCUCCAGCUCCUGUGAGCAGGUUCUGCACGUGGUCAGCGCUCCAUAUGCUUUAUGGAAUUCACUGGAAACUUCCCACCAGUGCUCCUCCGGUGGGAGAGGGGAUGCACAGCGGAGAGUCUUCGUGGAGGAGCCCUCAGCAUGAAGAGGCCCACUCUGGUGGCGCUUGUACGCAGAUCUGGGUGUGGACACUAGUUCUGUGUCUAAGUAGCUCCAUGGCCCUGAACGUGUGACCUGAAUGUGGCCUUGACCUGAAGGUGGACCAGGGGUCUUAAACUUUUUUGUGCCAUGGACUUAGUCUGGGGAGGCUGAUGGAGAUUUUCUCAGAAUGCUUUAAUUCUUUCAAUACAGAAGUAAAAAAAAACACCACAGGAUUUCAAAGGAAAUUAAUUAUUCUCAAGUACAAUUAUUAAAAUGUUGGUGUCAAAUGUUUCUUUAUGAACACAUGAAAAAUAAUGAUAUUUGUUAGUGGACAAAGUAUUGACUAUAAUUUGAAGUCCUGGUGAAUGUGAAAUUAUAUUUCAAGUACCUACAACUGUACUGUGAUUUAAAAAUACCAGUGACUUCUUUAUGACGGUCACAAACACUGUUAGUGUUACUGUGAUUUGUUGCCUGUACUCAUGAUUGAAGAAACUGUUUAAUUUCAGAAUAAUAAAAAUAAAGAUGCAAUUUUCCCCCUCUUCUAA